rnacentral:rRNA from 1 species
GAUGAACGCUGGCGGCGUGCCUAAUACAUGCAAGUCGAGCGAACAGACGAGGAGCUUGCUCCUCUGACGUUAGCGGCGGACGGGUGAGUAACACGUGGAUAACCUACCUAUAAGACUGGGAUAACUUCGGGAAACCGGAGCUAAUACCGGAUAACAUGUUGAACCGCAUGGUUCAACAGUGAAAGACGGUCUUGCUGUCACUUAUAGAUGGAUCCGCGCCGCAUUAGCUAGUUGGUAAGGUAACGGCUUACCAAGGCAACGAUGCGUAGCCGACCUGAACGGGUGAUCGGCCACACUGGAACUGAGACACGGUCCAGACUCCUACGGGAAGCAGCAGUAGGGAAUCUUCCGCAAUGGGCGAAAGCCUGACGGAGCAACGCCGCGUGAGUGAAGAAGGUCUUCGGAUCGGAAAACUAUGUUAUUAGGGGAGAACAAAUGUGUAAGUAACUAGGCACGUCUUGACGGUACCUAAUCAGAAAGCCACGGCUAACUACGUG